AGAGAGAUUUCCUCUUGCUGACGAAGGGAAAGGCCCCUUUAACAUUUUUUUUCUCUGUCUCUACACGGUGGCGGCUGCCAGACUAGGUGGGGCUCGCUCCCUUGCCUUCCUUCUGCCACUUCCCGCAACAAAUGAAGACUUUGGGUUCCAGAGUGGAUAAGCUGACAAUGGGCUGGAACUGGCUUGAUGGUCUGAGUUGGAUCUUCAGUUCCCACAUGGUGGAAGGAGAGAACUAGCUUCUGUUGUCCUCUGUCCUCCACAAGAGGGGCACCGUGGCACCAGAAGAACACACACAGGAGACUGAUCACAUGGAUUGAAUGAGGAAGAAUGAAGAACAGCAGCGUGGGAGAAGAUAAGGAAAAGAUCCAGUGAGGGGAAGCACGGUUUCACCAUGCCAUAGAAACCUCUGGUGACAUGACCAGUCAAGAGUUCAGGCAGGUGAUGGAUGGCUGCCAGCAAAGUACAAGGGAAGAACGUUCGGGAACAUUUACUGUGUCAGAUCCCCCAAGUCUGUGGUUUAGAGAGAGAAGAACUUCUGGGGCUCCUCUGAGGAAUCAGGGCCAGUGUGGGUCUUGUCCGACUUUUAGAACAACUGAGGUCCUAGAAGGACAGAGGGUUCGGAAGACUGGCAAAGUGGUCCAGAAAAGACUAUUCUGUGGGCUAGUCUCAGGUUCGAGGCAAUCAGGACUGUUAUGGUGGAUGGAUGGAUUAUGCUUUUUGUUAUAUUAAGUACGACAAAAACCUGACUUCAGAAGUCUUCCAUUCUUUUGAAACAUAGGGUGCAGCCUUGUAAGUCUGAUUCGGUCUCUUAUGGCUAACACACCACAUUUGUGGACAUUGCUCAGUAGGAGAAGCCCCUAGUAGAGGUGGUGAGUGUGGAGCCCACGGGUGGCGCAAUUAUUCCAUCCGUCGCAUUCUUCCAGCUCGACAAGCCCAUCAUCUGCUGAAUGAGAAGUGAUGGUGAGAGAGCGGUCCCCAGAGGUUUGUAGGUUUAACACUUGGUCCCCUCUUGCCAACACUGGGAAGGAUUAGGAGGUUUCAUCUUCUUGGAAGAGGUAUCUUGUGGAAUAUUAGUUUAAUAUGCGUUACAUUUGUUUAUGCUGUGGGAUAUUUGUUUAA